GUGCUUCCUUUGGCAGCACAUACACUAAAAUUGGAAGGACACAGAGAAGAUUAGCUUGGUCUGAAGGCAGCCCUGUAUCAGGAAGUUGUUAAUGUUUGA